rnacentral:rRNA from 1 species
CGUAGGUGGCAAGCGUUGUCCGGAAUUAUUGGGGGUAAAGCGCGCGCAGGCGGUUCCUUAAGUCUGAUGUGAAAGCCCCCGGCUCAACCGGGGAAGGUCAUUGGAAACUGGGAACUUGAGUGCAGAAGAGAAGAGCGGAAUUCCACGUGUAGCGGUGAAAUGCGUAGAGAUGUGGAGGAACACCAGUGGCGAAGGCGGCUCUUUGGUCUGUAACUGACGCUGAGGCGCGAAAGCGUGGGGAGCAAACAGGAUUAGAUACCCUGGUAGUCCACGCCGUAAACGAUGAGUGCUAAGUGUUAGAGGGUUUCCGCCCUUUAGUGCUGCAGCUAACGCAUUAAGCACUCCGCCUGGGGAGUACGGCCGCAAGGCUG